AUGGAUACUGACCAAAGCUUCUUGGACACCCUUGGUUUUGGUUACACGCAAACACAACUAGAAAGUCCAAUUGGAGAGCAGGCAACUCCAUCAACUCAGCAUCGUUCUGCAAUAACAGAGAAAGGAAAAUCCAACAAAGGCAAAAAUUGGUCUAGCGAUGAGGACAAGGUUCUCAUAGCAGCAUGGGCAAAUACAAGUUUGGAUAUUGCUGGGACAGAUCAAAACCGGGAUGCUUAUUGGGAUAGAAUUUCAGAGUACUACAACACACACAAGGAAUCAUCAUGGCCGGAGCGUAAUGCUAAUGCAAUCAAUUGCCGUUACACAACGAUUAACAGAGAGACCUCCAAAUUUUGUGGUUGCCUUCAGCAGAUUUUAAAUAGGCAAGAAAGUGGAAGGACUAUACAAGAAAAGAAGAAACAAAAGAAGACCAUUGAUGCAAGUCCGGGCACAGCCACCAAUGAUCCGGCUGAUGCAUCCUCGGUACGUACUGAUGCUACCUCGAUACACACUGAUGCUCUUGAACAUGAGAAAAGACCUGAUGGUGUGAAGAGGGACAAGAGAGAUAAAGCUGAUGACAGUGCUUGCAAGCUGUCAUUAGAAACUGUGUGGGCAGCAAAGCUAGAGAAGGAUGAGAUCAAAGAGGCGGCAAGAAAUGCUCGCUACGCACAGCAAUUAGAAUUGCGAAAAGAGGAGAUUGCACUCAAAAAGAAUGAGGAUGCACGCAGUUUGAAUUAGAUGAGAGGAUCAUGCUCAUCGACACAAGUGGUAUGACUGAUGUUCAAAAGCAGUUCUACCAAGCUAAGCAGAAGGAGAUCCUUGCUCGCGACCUAGGGUAAUGUGAGCUAUAUGUUGUAG
rnacentral:rRNA from 1 species